rnacentral:tRNA from 1 species
UCCCAGGUGGCUCAGUAGUAAAGAACCCACCUGCCAAGCAGGAGACUCAGGUUUGAUCCCUGAUAUGGGAC